UACGUAGGGUGCAAGCGUUAAUCGGAAUUACUGGGCGUAAAGCGUGCGCAGGCGGCUUUGCAAGACAGAUGUGAAAUCCCCGGGCUUAACCUGGGAACUGCAUUUGUGACUGCAUGGCUGGAGUGCGGCAGAGGGGGAUGGAAUUCCGCGUGUAGCAGUGAAAUGCGUAGAUAUGCGGAGGAACACCGAUGGCGAAGGCAAUCCCCUGGGCCUGCACUGACGCUCAGGCACGAAAGCGUGGGGAGCAAACAGG
rnacentral:rRNA from 1 species